GUCAGAGUAGCUCAGUUGGUAGAGCACAGGACUCAUAAGCCUGGGGUCGCCGGUUCAAUCCCGGCCUCUGACACCA
rnacentral:tRNA from 1 species